rnacentral:rRNA from 1 species
CCUACGCGAGGCUGCAGUGGGGAAUAUUGCACAAUGGGGGAAACCCUGAUGCAGCGACGCCGCGUGAGUGAAGAAGUAUUUCGGUAUGUAAAGCUCUAUCAGCAGGGAAGAAAUAGCGACCUUUGGGUCGCCAGACGGUACCUGGUUACUAAGCCCCGGCUAACUACGUGCCAGCAGCCGCGGUAAUACGUAGGGGGCAAGCGUUAUCCGGAUUUACUGGGUGUAAAGGGAGCGUAGACGGCAGCGCAAGUCUGAAGUGAAAUGCCGGGGCUUAACCCCGGAACUGCAUUGGAAACUGUGCAGCUAGAGUGCAGGAGAGGUAAGUGGAAUUCCUAGUGUAGCGGUGAAAUGCGUAGAUAUUAGGAGGAACACCAGUGGCGAAGGCGGCUUACUGGACUGUAACUGACGUUGAGGCGCGAAAGCGUGGGGAGCAAACAGGAUUAGAUACCCUUGUAGUC